AGUUUAAUUUUGGGAAAUAGUUUCUGAACUCUUUUUGAUAAUUUUUCUUUUUCUUUUUUUCACUCCUGUCACUUGUAGGAAAUUGAAGAAGAGG
rnacentral:ribozyme from 1 species